AACGAACGCUGGCGGCAUGCCUAACACAUGCAAGUCGAACGAGACCUUCGGGUCUAGUGGCGCACGGGUGCGUAACGCGUGGGAACCUGCCCUUAGGUUCGGAAUAACUCCCCGAAAGGGGUGCUAAUACCGGAUAAUGUCUUCGGACCAAAGAUUUAUCGCCUUUGGAUGGGCCCGCGUUGGAUUAGCUAGUUGGUAGGGUAAAAGCAUACCAAGGCGACGAUCCAUAGCUGGUCUGAGAGGAUGAUCAGCCACACUGGGACUGAGACACGGCCCAGACUCCUACGGGAGGCAGCAGUGGGGAAUAUUGGACAAUGGGCGAAAGCCUGAUCCAGAAAUGCCGCGUGAGUGAUGAAGGCCUUAGGGUUGUAAAGCUCUUUUACCCGGGAUGAUAAUGACAGUACCGGGAGAAUAAGCUCCGGCUAACUCCGUG
rnacentral:rRNA from 1 species